rnacentral:rRNA from 1 species
UGAAGAAUUUAUCCAACGGCGGGGGAUAGCCGGCCCAACGGCCGGGUAAUACCGCGUACGACCUUCGGGGGCGAUCCCCUCGAUGGUGAAAGCCGCAAGGCGCCGAUGGAGAACUUCGCGGCCUAUCAGCUAGUUGGUGUGGGUAAUGGCCCACCAAGGCUUCGAUGGGUAGCUGGUCUGAGAGGAUGAUCAGCCACACUGGGACUGAGACACGGCCCAGACUCCUACGGGAGGCAG